rnacentral:rRNA from 1 species
CAUCACUACGCUAGAUGCAUAUCAAUAAGCGGAGGAAAAGAAACUAACAAGGAUUCCCCUAGUAACGGCGAGUGAAGCGGGAAGAGCUCAAAUUUGAAAUCUUAAAGGGUUUCCCUUUACGAAUUGUAGUUUAAAGAAGUGUUUUCUGUUGGAGUUUCGGUAAAAGUUCUUUGGAAUAGGACAUCAUAGAGGGUGAGAAUCCCGUAUUUGACCGUUACUUUCCAGCUGUGUGAUACACUUUCAAAGAGUCGGAUUGUUUGGGAAUGCAGUCCAAAAUGGGUGGUAAAUUUCAUCUAAAGCUAAAUAUUGGCGAGAGACCGAUAGCGAACAAGUACCGUGAGGGAAAGAUGAAAAGAACUUUGAAAAGAGAGUUAAACAGUACGUGAAAUUGUCAAAAGGGAAGCGUUUGACACCAGUGUUGUUUAAGUUGAAAAUCAAUUCAAUAGUUUUUGAUUCUAAGUAGUAUUGACUUCAUCAGCUUGCUGCUUUCUUCUCAGAAAAUUAUUGAAUGCACUUUUCAGUUAACAAGUCAACAUCAAUUUCUUUUGUUGUAAAAGGGUAAGAGGAAGGUGGCUUACGCUUCGGCGUCAAGUGUUUAUAGCCUUUUAUCUCUGCAAUCGGAGAGAUUGAGGUCAUGCAGCGUAGAUCCUUCGGGGUUAGAUACACUUGUGCUAAGCUAUAGCCUUGUAUAGACAACUUGUUGACUAUGCUCAGUCAUGUAGCUUACUCGCAUGAUGCUAUUUUACCUACGCUUAGGAUGUUGAUAGUCACAGCGUGUAC